rnacentral:rRNA from 1 species
UACAGAGGGGGCAAGCGUUGUUCGGAAUUACUGGGCGUAAAGGGCGCGUAGGCGGUCUUGCAAGUCCUGUGUGAAAUCCCUCGGCUCAACUGAGGAACUGCACAGGAAACUGCUUGGCUUGAGUUCGGGAGAGGGAAGCGGAAUUCCGGGUGUAGCGGUGAAAUGCGUAGAUAUCCGGAGGAACACCGGUGGCGAAGGCGGCUUCCUGGACCGACACUGACGCUGAGGCGCGAAAGCUAGGGGAGCAAACGGG